rnacentral:rRNA from 1 species
CCUACGGGAGGCAGCAGUGAGGAAUAUUGGUCAAUGGGCGCGAGCCUGAACCAUCCAAGUAGCGUGAAGGUUGAAUGCCCUACGGGUUGUAAACUUCUUUUAUAAAGGAAUAAAGAGAGGCACGUGUGCAUUUUUGAAUGUACUUUAUGAAUAAGGAUCGGCUCACUCCGUGCAAGCAGCCGCGGUAAUACGGCGGAUCCGAGCGUUAUCCGGAUUGAUUGGGUUUAAAGGGAGCGUAGAUGGGUGGUUAAGUCAGUUGUGAAAGUUUGCGGCGCAACCGUAAAAUUGCAAUUGAUACUGGCAGCCUUGAGUACAGUUGAGGUAGGCGGAAUUCGUGGUGUAGCGGUGAAAUGCUUAGAUAUCACGAAGAACUCCGAUUGCGAAGGCAGCUUACUAAACUGCCACUGACAUUGAUGCUCGAAAGUGUGGGUAUCAAACAGGAUUAGAUACCCGAGUAGUC